rnacentral:lncRNA from 13 species
CUUUAAUAGUGGCACAAAAUAGACAGGCCUUAGAUGUCCUUACAGCAGAAGUCGGGAGUACCUAUGAACUUUUAAAUGAAACAUGCUAUGAUUCUGGAUCAACACUUCUAGUCAAGUAGAAGAAAACCUACAGGACUUCCAGUGCUGUGUUGCAUAGAAGUGGUGAAAGUGGUCAUCGCUGUCUUGUGCCAGUUCUCAGGGGGAAUGCGUUCAACCAUUCCCAAUUCAGUAAAUGUUGGCUGCGGGCUUGUCAUAGACGACUUUUAUUACUUUAAGGUAUGUCACUUA